AGCGAACGCUGGCGGCAGGCCUAACACAUGCAAGUCGAACGAACUCUUCGGAGUUAGUGGCGGACGGGUGAGUAACACGUGGGAACGUGCCUUUAGGUUCGGAAUAACUCAGGGAAACUUGUGCUAAUACCGAAUGUGCCCUUCGGGGGAAAGAUUUAUCGCCUUUAGAGCGGCCCGCGUCUGAUUAGCUAGUUGGUGAGGUAAAGGCUCACCAAGGCGACGAUCAGUAGCUGGUCUGAGAGGAUGAUCAGCCACAUUGGGACUGAGACACGGCCCAAACUCCUACGGGAGGCAGCAGUGGGGAAUCUUGCGCAAUGGGCGAAAGCCUGACGCAGCCAUGCCGCGUGAAUGAUGAAGGUCUUAGGAUUGUAAAAUUCUUUCACCGGGGACGAUAAUGACGGUACCCGGAGGAGAAGCCCCGGCUAACUUCGUG
rnacentral:rRNA from 1 species